ACGAACGCUGGCGGCGUGCUUAACACCUGCAAGUCGAACGGAAAGGCCUAGCUUGCUGGGUACUCGAGUGGCGAACGGGUGAGUAGCACGUGGGUGAUCUGCCCCUGACUUUGGGAUAAGCCUGGGAAACUGGGUCUAAUACCGGAUAUUCAUUUUUCCUCGCAUGGGGAUUUGUGGAAAGCUUUUGCGGUUGGGGAUGGGCCCGCGGCCUAUCAGCUUGUUGGUGGGGUAAUGGCCUACCAAGGCGACGACGGGUAGCCGACCUGAGAGGGUGAUCGGCCACACUGGGACUGAGACACGGCCCAGACUCCUACGGGAGGCAGCAGUGGGGAAUAUUGCACAAUGGGCGCAAGCCUGAUGCAGCGACGCCGCGUGAGGGAUGACGGCCUUCGGGUUGUAAACCUCUUUCAGCUCCGACGAAGCGCAAGUGACGGUAGGAGCAGAAGAAGCACCGGCCAACUACGUG
rnacentral:rRNA from 1 species